AUGCCUCUCUCCACUCUCAGGUUUCUCGGCUACGAAGGCGUAGAAGUUAUAAAUCCAGAAGGAGGCAAAGAAGAUGCAGAAGAGGAAGCUCAGAGAGGAAGAUGGAAACAAGAGGAUCGCGAAAAUUACUGGAAGGUGAUGCACAAGUAUAUUGGUUCGGACGUCACAUCGAUGGUCACUCUUCCAGUAAUCAUCUUUGAACCAAU